GGCACCGUAGCCAAGUGGUAAGGCAGAGGUCUGCAAAACCUCCAUUCGUCGGUUCGAUUCCGACCGGUGCCUCC
rnacentral:tRNA from 1 species